AGCAAUGGGCGGGUCUAUACAUGCAAGUCGAGCGGACAGAUGGGAGCUUGCUCCCUGAUGUUAGCGGCGGACGGGUGAGUAACACGUGGGUAACCUGCCUGUAAGACUGGGAUAACUCCGGGAAACCGGGGCUAAUACCGGAUGGUUGUCUGAACCGCAUGGUUCAGACAUAAAAGGUGGCUUCGGCUACCACUUACAGAUGGACCCGCGGCGCAUUAGCUAGUUGGU
rnacentral:rRNA from 1 species